rnacentral:rRNA from 1 species
UACGGAGGGGGCAAGCGUUGUUCGGAUUUACUGGGCGUAAAGGGUGUGUAGGCGGCCGUGCCAGUCUGGUGUGAAAUCUCCACCGCUUAACGGGGAGAGGUCACUGGAUACUGCACGGCUCGAGUAUGGUAGAGGCAAGCGGAAUUCCUGGUGUAGCGGUGGAAUGUGUAGAUAUCAGGAAGAACAUCUGUGGCGAAGGCGGCUUGCUGGGCCAUCACUGACGCUGAGACACGAAAGCGUGGGGAGCAAACGGG